GACGAACGCUGGCGGCGUGCUUAACACAUGCCAGUCGAACGGAAAGGCCCUGCUUUUGUGGGGUGCUCGAGUGGCGAACGGGUGAGUAACACGUGAGUAACCUGCCCUUGACUUUGGGAUAACUGCAGGAAACUGGGGCUAAUACCGGAUAGGAGCUCCUGCUGCAUGGUGGGGGUUGGAAAGUUUCGGCGGUUGGGGAUGGACUCGCGGCUUAUCAGCUUGUUGGUGGGGUAGUGGCUUACCAAGGCUUUGACGGGUAGCCGGCCUGAGAGGGUGACCGGCCACAUUGGGACUGAGAUACGGCCCAGACUCCUACGGGAGGCAGCAGUGGGGAAUAUUGCACAAUGGGCGGAAGCCUGAUGCAGCAACGCCGCGUGCGGGAUGACGGCCUUCGGGUUGUAAACCGCUUUCGCCUGUGACGAAGCGUGAGUGACGGUAAUGGGUAAAGAAGCACCGGCUAACUACGUG
rnacentral:rRNA from 1 species